rnacentral:lncRNA from 1 species
UCUGUGGCUUUCCCGUUGCAGUGAGAGCCACGAGCCAAGGUGGGCACUUGAUGUCGGAUCUCUUCAACAAGCUGGUCAUGAGGCGCAAGGGCAUCUCUGGGAAAGGACCUGGGGCUGGUGAGGGGCCCGGAGGAGCCUUUGUCCGCGUGUCAGACUCCAUCCCUCCUUUGCCGCCACCGCAGCAGCCACAGGCAGAGGAGGACGAGGACGACUGGGAAUCGUAGGGGGCUCCAUGACACCUUCCCCCCCAGACCCAGACUUGGGCCGUUGCUCUGACAUGGACACAGCCAGGACAAGCUGCUCAGACCUGCUUCCCUGGGAGGGGGUGACGGAACCAGCAGUGUGUGGAGACCAGCUUCAAGGAGCGGAAGGCUGGCUUGAGGCCACACAGCUGGGGCGGGGACUUGUCUGCCUGUACUUCAUGGGGGGACGGCUCCACCCAGCCUGCGCCACUGUGUUCUUAAGAGGCUUCCAGAGAAAACGGCACACCAAUCAAUAAAGAACUGAGCAGAAACCAACAGUGUGCUUUUAAUAAAGGAUCUCUAGCUGUGCAGGAU